GCCUGGGUGGCUCAGUCGGUUAAGCGUCCGACUUCAGCUCAGGUCGUGAUCUUGCGGUCCGUGGGUUCGAGCCCCGCGUCGGGCU
rfam:Felis catus isolate Cinnamon breed Abyssinian chromosome A1, whole genome shotgun sequence.